rnacentral:rRNA from 1 species
GAUGAACGCUGGCGGCAUGCCUAAUACAUGCAAGUCGAGCGAACAGAUGAGGAGCUUGCUCCUCUGACGUUAGCGGCGGACGGGUGAGUAACACGUGGAUAACCUACCUAUAAGACUGGGAUAACUUCGGGAAACCGGAGCUAAUACCGGAUAAUAUAUUGAACCGCAUGGUUCAAUAGUGAAAGACGGUUUUGCUGUCACUUAUAGAUGGAUCCGCGCCGCAUUAGCUAGUUGGUAAGGUAACGGCUACCAAGGCAACGAUGCGUAGCCGACCUGAGAGGGUGAUCGGCCACACUGGAACUGAGACACGGUCCAGACUCCUACGGGAGGCAGCAGUAGGGAAUCUUCCGCAAUGGGCGAAAGCCUGACGGAGCAACGCCGCGUGAGUGAUGAAGGUCUUCGGAUCGUAAAACUCUGUUAUUAGGGAAGAACAAAUGUGUAAGUAACUAUGCACGUCUUGACGGUACCUAAUCAGAAAGCCACGGCUAACUACGUG